UACGUAGGGUGCGAGCGUUAAUCGGAAUUACUGGGCGUAAAGCGUGCGCAGGCGGUUCUGAAAGUCAGCUGUGAAAUCCCCGGGCUUAACCUGGGAAUGGCAUUGGUGACUGCACGGCUAGAGUGUGUCAGAGGGGGGUAGAAUUCCACGUGUAGCAGUGAAAUGCGUAGAGAUGUGGAGGAAUACCGAUGGCGAAGGCAGCCCCCUGGGAUAACACUGACGCUCAUGCACGAAAGCGUGGGGAGCAAACAGG
rnacentral:rRNA from 1 species